GAUUUUAGGCCAGACAAUCGUUCUAAUUUGGGCUGAACAUGUAUUUUUGACAUUCUUAUAUGACUAGUGUUAUUCUUUUUUAUUUUUUUAUUUUUAAUUGUGAAUAACAAUCUCCUAGCAUGUUAUAAUUUUUGUUUUCCAGCCCAAAUUGCUAUAUACCAUAACGUAUACGUGGUAUGAUACGUAUAGUCAAUAUUGCCUCUCGGUCUUUGCUCUUGAUCUUAUCAUAAACGCACUUGUUUAGACGUCGUUGAUCAGUUACAUUCAAAGGAAUCCAUUUCUCCUAUCUCAUUGUCACCAACGAGUCUUCCACUUAUUUUAGCCCAUUAUACAAGUAAAUCAAUCUACAUGGCAUCAGGUCCCGAAUUUUGACUGGAAAAAUGCAACAUUACUAUGACUGAGCCUCGAACUAAGUUUAGUUAACAUUUCAAUUUCCUAUGCAAUUACGUAUAAUCACUAACACAUAUAAAUAUACUAGUUAGAAUGAUACAAUUAUAAGUACAAAGAAAAGAAAGGGGAAAGAAAAGUUUAUAAGCAAGGCUGUCCUUUACAAUAAUUUUUCUAUCGGUCAAUGAUGUAUUGAUGAAAUUAUAGUUUAUAGAUUCUCAAAAGAUAUAUCAAAUUCUAUAUCUAAAUAGAAAUGGACAAUUAUUUAGGAAGAAGGCUAAUAAUUUUUUUUUUUGGUGGGGGGGGAAGACGACGGUAUUGAAUGGUUCUCUUUUAUAUGAAUGUAGACUUGUAGUUGUAGACCUUGUCUUUUUCUUUGUUAAAUUAUUAUAUUACAAUAUAUACUAACAUCAUUUUUAAAAUUUAUCAAGAGCUGAUACCUAUGUAAUUAUAGCGUUGUUCAAGUCUGUCAAGUAUGGUUGGAAAAUUUAUGUCUAAUAUGGAGACACUUACUGUAGAUUUAUAAAACUAAAGUCUCUAUUUAGAAGUCCUCAGGAGCCUGAUCCAGUGAUUUUUAAAAAGUUUUAAUUUGACUAACUACCCGAGUUCAAAUUUUGAGGAAGAUAAAAACUAAAAAUUAAUCGUACAUUUUUAAUACGUAGAAAAUAAAAGCCUUUAUCCCGUACAUAAAUGUAAAAGAUGAAAUUUUGAAUUUGUAGCUAUAGGGCAUGAAUUUGUACCAACAAAUCAAACCUUGUCAUGUGACAAAAUGAAUUAAAAAAACCAGCUACGAUCCAUGGUGACAAGUAAACCAAGCAAGGGAAGACGCAAAUAAAUGACAAGGACAAUUAACAGGGACGGGACAUAGGACCUUUCAUCAAUAUUAGUUAAUUUAUAAAUUUAUUGUAAAUUUGUGUGAUUAAUGAUGCUUAUAAAAGAGUUAGGAAAUACAUUUAGCGAUACAAAAAUUAUUAGAAAAAUACAUAUAUUUAUUGCAAGAAUGAGAACAACGCAAGAAAUAGGUUUAUUAAUAUAAAUUAUUAAAAUUGUACCAAAAAAAUUAUUUAUGAAUUUCUUUUGUACUUUAUUGAUAGAAAAGAUAAAAAUUUGAAUAACUUGAUGAAAACAAGCAAGUAUAAUUGUGAAGCAAAUAAACCAUGAAGGCAGGAAAUUAUGAUUUGUUGUUGACUGUUACUAUAUACCAAUUUGUAACUUUCUUGUACAAGUGGCAAUGUAAUAAUAUAUUAACAUACUUUUCUUUCAAUUACUACAAACCAUAAUACUUUUUAACAAUAAGUUAAAAUAGUAGUAAGAUUUUAGCUCCAAAAUGAUUUCAAUUUAUUGAUACAUAUAUAAUUGAAUUAUUUGAUAAAAAUAAGUCUCUAACU
rnacentral:lncRNA from 1 species